rnacentral:rRNA from 1 species
AGCACCGGCUAACUACGUGCCAGCAGCCGCGGUAAUACGUAGGGUGCAAGCGUUAUCCGGAAUUAUUGGGCGUAAAGGGCUCGUAGGCGGUUCGUCGCGUCCGGUGUGAAAGUCCAUCGCUUAACGGUGGAUCUGCGCCGGGUACGGGCGGGCUGGAGUGCGGUAGGGGAGACUGGAAUUCCCGGUGUAACGGUGGAAUGUGUAGAUAUCGGGAAGAACACCAAUGGCGAAGGCAGGUCUCUGGGCCGUUACUGACGCUGAGGAGCGAAAGCGUGGGGAGCGAACAGGAUUAGAUACCCUGGUAGUCCACGCCGUAAACGGUGGAUGCUGGAUGUGGGGCCCGUUCCACGGGUUCCGUGUCGGAGCUAACGCGUUAAGCAUCCCGCCUGGGGAGUACGGCCGCAAGGCUAAAACUCAAAGAAAUUGACGGGGGCCCGCACAAGCGGCGGAGCAUGCGGAUUAAUUCGAUGCAACGCGAAGAACCUUACCUGGGCUUGACAUGUUCCCGACGACGGCAGAGAUGGCGUUUCCCUUCGGGGCGGGUUCACAGGUGGUGCAUGGUCGUCGUCAGCUCGUGUCGUGAGAUGUUGGGUUAAGUCCCGCAACGAGCGCAACCCUCGCCCCGUGUUGCCAGCGGAUUAUGCCGGGAACUCACGGGGGACCGCCGGGGUUAACUCGGAGGAAGGUGGGGAUGACGUCAGAUCAUCAUGCCCCUUACGUCCAGGGCUUCACGCAUGCUACAAUGGCCGGUACAACGGGAUGCGACACGGCGACGUGGAGCGGAUCCCUGAAAACCGGUCUCAGUUCGGAUUGGAGUCUGCAACCCGACUCCGUGAAGGCGGAGUCGCUAGUAAUCGCGGAUCAGCAACGCCGCGGUGAAUGCGUUCCCGGGCCUUGUACACACCGCCCGUCAAGUCAUGAAAGUGGGCAGCACCCGAAGCCGGUGGCCUAACCCCUUGUGGGAUGGAGCCGUCUAAGGUGAGGCUCGUGAUUGGGACUAAGUCGUAACAAGGUAGCCGUACCGGAAGGUGCGGCUG